GGGGUGAUGGCGCAGUUGGUUAGCACGUAGAUCUCAUAGCUUGCAUUGAGGAAUCCUGAGGUCGAUAGUUCGAUUUUCUCUCACCCCA
rfam:Picea glauca, whole genome shotgun sequence.